UUUUGGGUACCGGCUAACUAAUUUGAUGCUUCUAUUAAAUGUUUGGGGGUUUCUUGAGGGGUGAAAAUACUGGUAGUUAAUUUAUUGGCAUCAGUUAGCACUGUUGGAGAUUAGUUUAUUGACUUAAGGUUCCAAUCCAUGAAGUUUACAUUUUUGGUCUUUCCUUUUUAUUGCUCAUCACACACACACAUAUAUAUUUGUGCCAUGGUUAAAGUUUGUUAAUAUUAUUUCACAGAAAUAGUUAGCUAUAGAGGUUUGUUAUCAAUUUGGUUAUAGCUUAUGGUGGAGACCAAGAACAAACGAUUUUUUAUGAAAGGUUUGAUUGCAGGUAUACCCAAAUCAAGGUCUUUUAUCUAAUUGGUUGGAUAACUACUUUUCAGGUGUCUUCUGAUUACCACAGUAACACAAUUUUCUUACUCAUGCUUUGCGCUUGGUAUAUUUCUUCACUCUGAAAAAUUAACUUUUGUUGGUUGCACGUCAAGUAACAAAGGAUUCUUGCCGGAGGAGACGAACUUUUAUGGAUUCUUGCUGGAGGAGAUGAACUUUUAUGGUGUGUUUUUUCCCCUGUAUGCGUCGCUUCAGAUCAGGCUGAUGCUGUUGUUAUUAUGGAUGAGCUGUUGAAGGCCAAGGUUUUCCUUGUGAGAAUGCCAUAGGUACAAGAAAAGAUUGCCUGAAAGGUCUUUAUGGUUUAUUCUGCAAGGUUAGAGGCCUGCUGAGGCUAGCGUGAGGUCUGCUAUGGCAUCGAUGAUCUGGGUGUCAUGACUGUGAGGACUGCUCGCGCCUCUCCGCUCACAAACCGUGUGACAGAGUAAAUACUCUGGUCCACAACAAUUAGACCUUCCUCCCUCUCAGCUAUGGUAUUGCAGCACAACAAUCUCCUUCCACCUUCAUUUGUUGGGCUAGAGCGUUAGAAGACAUUCUAAUUUUCUAGCUAUAUUUUGCAAUGUUAGACUGGUCAAAUGUGUUUGUAUAUGGUCGCAGUGGCGUGAGCUUUUUCAUUACUUGAUCUGUUUAUUCAAACUCAAUUUUUCUGUUGUUGUGGAGAGGAGGAUCAUCUGCUCUUUCAUACAUAUUUAUUACCUUCACUAU